rnacentral:rRNA from 1 species
GACGAACGCUGGCGGCGUGCUUAACACAUGCAAGUCGAACGGAAAGGCCCUGCUUUUGUGGGGUGCUCGAGUGGCGAACGGGUGAGUAACACGUGAGUAACCUGCCCUUGACUUUGGGAUAACUUCAGGAAACUGGGGCUAAUACCGGAUAGGAGCUCCUGCUGCAUGGUGGGGGUUGGAAAGUUUCGGCGGUUGGGGAUGGACUCGCGGCUUAUCAGCUUGUUGGUGGGGUAGUGGCUUACCAAGGCUUUGACGGGUAGCCGGCCUGAGAGGGUGACCGGCGACAUUGGGCCUGAGAUACGCACCAGACGCCUACGGGAGGCAGCAGUGGGGAAUAUUGCCCAGUGGGCGGAAGCCUGAUGCAGCAACGCCGCGUGCGGGAUGAAGGCCUUCGGGUUGUAAACCGCUUUGGCCUGUGACGAAGCGUGAGUGACGGUAAUGGGUAAAGAAGCACCGGCUAACUACGUG